rnacentral:rRNA from 1 species
AUUGAACGCUGGCGGCAUGCUUUACACAUGCAAGUCGAACUGUAACAGGCCGCAAGGUGCUGACGAGUGGCGAACGGGUGAGUAAUGCAUCGGAACGUGCCCAGUCGUGGGGGAUAACUACUCGAAAGAGUAGCUAAUACCGCAUACGAUCUAUGGAUGAAAGCGGGGGACCGUAAGGCCUCGCGCGAUUGGAGCGGCCGAUGUCAGAUUAGGUAGUUGGUGGGGUAAAGGCUCACCAAGCCAACGAUCUGUAGCUGGUCUGAGAGGACGACCAGCCACACUGGGACUGAGACACGGCCCAGACUCCUACGGGAGGCAGCAGUGGGGAAUUUUGGACAAUGGGCGCAAGCCUGAUCCAGCAAUGCCACGUGCAGGAAGAAGGCCUUCGGGUUGUAAACUGCUUUUGUACGGAACGAAACGGCUCUGGUUAAUACCCGGGGCUAAUGACGGUACCGUAAGAAUAAGCACCGGCUAACUACGUG